ensembl:lncRNA
CAGCAGCCCAUGAAAGAAGCAGAUAUUGCAGGCUGGGCUGUCCUUAUAACUACUUAGACUAAACAUUGACUCUUCUCUUUCAACUCCAGAGACUGAGGCUGUGAUUUUCCAUGAAGCUUCUGGGGAACAGAGCUGGAUGCUUAAGGUCCCAUCUUUCAAACUCACUGCAAACGGUCAACGGAAUUGCAGUGAAAUAUAGCAGGGACAGGCUACUGAGCAGUACUACCAAAGCUCCCACUGAAUUUAAAGGCAUGUCUGGUACAAACAGCAGUUGCUACUGGAUAUACGUGCGUCACUGGUGGUUUUCCUGUACAAUUUAUUGUAAGCAGAACACAUUUUACUGUCUGUGACGAAUAACAGAAAGUAACUGGCAGGAUGAAUCUGCUGUGGGUUCAGGUUUAUACAGCUGCAGCUCAGCCUCCCUGAAAUGCAUUUACAAAUAAAGAGUGAUUGCUGCCUUGCA